UACGUAGGGUGCAAGCGUUAAUCGGAAUUACUGGGCGUAAAGCGUGCGCAGGCGGUUUUGUAAGUCUGUCGUGAAAUCCCCGGGCUCAACCUGGGAAUUGCGAUGGAGACUGCAAGGCUAGAAUCUGGCAGAGGGGGGUAGAAUUCCACGUGUAGCAGUGAAAUGCGUAGAGAUGUGGAGGAACACCGAUGGCGAAGGCAGCCCCCUGGGUCAAGAUUGACGCUCAUGCACGAAAGCGUGGGGGGCAAACAGG
rnacentral:rRNA from 1 species